rnacentral:lncRNA from 1 species
CUCCAGUCCGCAGUUUUACUGCAGCAGAGCGCCUUCCACCGUCCUCAGAGCGCAUUAACACACAUUAUCCUCACUGUCCACAGGUGAGGAACCUCUCAGCAGGUUGUCUCUUUGAAGAUGAUUUAUGCGAGCCGUAUGAAGUUUGCGCUAACGACUUUGUGAACCGCCCUGCUCGAGAUCCACCCCCACCCCCCCCCACUCCACACAAAUCUCCCGUCCAAUUAUAGAGCGUUCCACAUGAUUAGAAAU